rnacentral:rRNA from 1 species
UACGUAGGUGACCAGCGUUGUCCGGAUUUACUGGGCGUAAAGAGCGCGCAGGCGGUCGUUCAAGUCGAGUGUGAAAGCCCCCGGCUCAACUGGGGAGGGUCAUUCGAUACUGAUCGACUCGAAGGCAGGAGAGGGAAGUGGAAUUCCCGGUGUAGUGGUGAAAUGCGUAGAGAUCUGGAGGAAUACCAGAGGCGAAGGCGGCUUGCUGGGGUGGAAUUGACGCUCAGACACGAAAGCAUGGGGAGCGAACGGG